rnacentral:SRP_RNA from 1 species
GCCGGGCGCUGUGGUGGGCGCCUGUAGUCCCAGCUACUUGGGAGGCUGAGGCAGGAGAAUCGCUUAAGCCCAGGAGUUGGAGAUUGCUGUGAGCUGUGACUCCACAGCACUCUCUACCAAGGGCAAUGAAGUGAGACUCUGUCUCUA